AAAACCACCGGCAUCCACUAUCGAUCUUACUUUAAUAGGUGAAGAUCAACCUUCUUCUUACACCCUUCUUCUCUUUUUCAUCGGUUUAGGAGUCAACCUUGACAAGCACACACUCAUCCUAAAUAGAAUUCUAAACUUAGACUAUAUGAGGGGAUUUCUCUAGUGAUUGCAAUAGCGUUUUCUCACUUUUAAAUACUCUGUACUUGUAUCUUUUAAC
rnacentral:lncRNA from 1 species